rnacentral:rRNA from 2 species
AUAAUGGGUCAGCGACUUAUAUUCUGUAGCAAGGUUAACCGAAUAGGGGAGCCGAAGGGAAACCGAGUCUUAACUGGGCGUUAAGUUGCAGGGUAUAGACCCGAAACCCGGUGAUCUAGCCAUGGGCAGGUUGAAGGUUGGGUAACACUAACUGGAGGACCGAACCGACUAAUGUUGAAAAAUUAGCGGAUGACUUGUGGCUGGGGGUGAAAGGCCAAUCAAACCGGGAGAUAGCUGGUUCUCCCCGAAAGCUAUUUAGGUAGCGCCUCGUGAAUUCAUCUCCGGGGGUAGAGCACUGUUUCGGCAAGGGGGUCAUCCCGACUUACCAACCCGAUGCAAACUGCGAAUACCGGAGAAUGUUAUCACGGGAGACACACGGCGGGUGCUAACGUCCGUCGUGAAGAGGGAAACAACCCAGACCGCCAGCUAAGGUCCCAAAGUCAUGGUUAAGUGGGAAACGAUGUGGGAAGGCCCAGACAGCCAGGAUGUUGGCUUAGAAGCAGCCAUCAUUUAAAGAAAGCGUAAUAGCUCACUGGUCGAGUCGGCCUGCGCGGAAGAUGUAACGGGGCUAAACCAUGCACCGAAGCUGCGGCAGCGACGCUGAUGCGUUGUUGGGUAGGGGAGCGUUCUGUAAGCCUGUGAAGGUGUGCUGUGAGGCAUGCUGGAGGUAUCAGAAGUGCGAAUGCUGACAUAAGUAACGAUAAAGCGGGUGAAAAGCCCGCUCGCCGGAAGACCAAGGGUUCCUGUCCAACGUUAAUCGGGGCAGGGUGAGUCGACCCCUAAGGCGAGGCCGAAAGGCGUAGUCGAUGGGAAACAGGUUAAUAUUCCUGUACUUGGUGUUACUGCGAAGGGGGGACGGAGAAGGCUAUGUUGGCCGGGCGACGGUUGUCCCGGUUUAAGCGUGUAGGCUGGUUUUCCAGGCAAAUCCGGAAAAUCAAGGCUGAGGCGUGAUGACGAGGCACUACGGUGCUGAAGCAACAAAUGCCCUGCUUCCAGGAAAAGCCUCUAAGCAUCAGGUAACAUCAAAUCGUACCCCAAACCGACACAGGUGGUCAGGUAGAGAAUACCAAGGCGCUUGAGAGAACUCGGGUGAAGGAACUAGGCAAAAUGGUGCCGUAACUUCGGGAGAAGGCACGCUGAUAUGUAGGUGAAGUCCCUCGCGGAUGGAGCUGAAAUCAGUCGAAGAUACCAGCUGGCUGCAACUGUUUAUUAAAAACACAGCACUGUGCAAACACGAAAGUGGACGUAUACGGUGUGACGCCUGCCCGGUGCCGGAAGGUUAAUUGAUGGGGUCAGCGCAAGCGAAGCUCUUGAUCGAAGCCCCGGUAAACGGCGGCCGUAACUAUAACGGUCCUAAGGUAGCGAAAUUCCUUGUCGGGUAAGUUCCGACCUGCACGAAUGGCGUAAUGAUGGCCAGGCUGUCUCCACCCGAGACUCAGUGAAAUUGAACUCGCUGUGAAGAUGCAGUGUACCCGCGGCAAGACGGAAAGACCCCGUGAACCUUUACUAUAGCUUGACACUGAACAUUGAGCCUUGAUGUGUAGGAUAGGUGGGAGGCUUUGAAGUGUGG